rnacentral:tRNA from 1 species
AGAUCUGUAAGCUCAAAACGGAAGAGCGAUCAGAGCAUAUCAGUUAUGUUCUGGUAGGAUGGUGGUUCGAAUCCACCCUGAUCUG